rnacentral:rRNA from 1 species
CCUACGGGAGGCUGCAGUCGAGAAUAUUCCACAAUGGGCGAAAGCCUGAUGGAGCGACGCCGCGUGCGGGAUGACGGCCUUCGGGUUGUAAACCGCUUUUCUAAAGGAAGAAUUUCGUGACGGUACUUUAGGAAUAAGAGGUUGCUAACUCCGUGCCAGCAGCAGCGGUAAUACGGAGACCUCAAGCGUUAUCCGGAUUUAUUGGGCGUAAAGGGUGUGUAGGCGGUUCAAAUAGUCAGAUGUUAAAUCAUCCCACUCAAUGGGAUGGCUGCAUUUGAAACGUUUGGACUAGAGGCAGGCAGAGGUUAACGGAACUCAUGGUGUAGCAGUGAAAUGCGUUGAUAUCAUGGGGAACACCAAAGGCGAAGGCAGUUAGCUGGGCCUUGUCUGACGCUGAGACACGAAAGCGUGGGUAGCGAAUGGGAUUAGAUACCCUUGUAGUC